rnacentral:tRNA from 1 species
GCCACCGUAGCUCAGCGGCAGAGCGGCGGUUUUGUAAACCGCAGGUCGGGAGUUCGAUCCUCUCCGGUGGCU